AUUGAACGCUGGCGGCAUGCCCUACACAUGCAAGUCGAACGGCAGCACGGGAGCAAUCCUGGUGGCGAGUGGCGAACGGGUGAGUAAUGUAUCGGAACGUGCCUUGUCGUGGGGGAUAACGUAGCGAAAGCUACGCUAAUACCGCAUACCAUCCAAGGAUGAAAGCGGGGGAUCGCAAGACCUCGCGCGACAAGAGUGGCCGAUAUCAGAUUAGGUUGUUGGUGGGGUAAAGGCCUACCAAGCCGACGAUCUGUAGCUGGUCUGAGAGGACGACCAGCCACACUGGGACUGAGACACGGUCCCGACUCCUACGGGGGGCAGCAGUGAGGAAUAUUGGGCAAUGGGCGGAAGCCUGACCCAGCAACGCCGCGUGGAGGAUGAAGGCCUUCGGGUCGUAAACUCCUUUUGACGGGGAAGAGGAAGGACGGUACCCGUCGUAUAAGUCACGGCUAACUACGUGCCAGCAGCCGCGGUAAU
rnacentral:rRNA from 1 species